rnacentral:misc_RNA from 1 species
GAAAUUUGUCCUUCUAAGAACAAACUUGAAGCCAUUAUGAAUUUAGAGGUUGUUUUGGUUUGCUUACAGUUGGCAUUUUGUAGAGAUGCAUCCAUUCUUUGAGUUUAGACCAGUUAAGUUAUGCUUGAUAAGAUGAAAAGAAAGGGUGCGGCCUCUUGCCUACCUGCUGCAACCUCUGUUUUGUUUCUUGCUUAUUUUAGA